GCCGGGACCUUCGGGCCUGGCGCGAUUGGAUGAGCCCACGUCGGAUUAGCUAGUUGGCGGGUAAAGGCCCACCAAGGCGACGAUCCGUAGCUGGUCUGAGAGGAUGAUCAGCCACACUGGAACUGAGACACGGUCCAGACUCCUACGGGAGGCAGCAGUAGGGAAUAUUGGACAAUAGGCGCAAGCCUGAUCCAGCCAUGCCGCGUGAGUGAAGAAGGCCCUCGGGUUGUAAAGCUCUUUUGUCCGGAAAGAAAAGCGCCGGGUUAAUACCCUGGUGUCCUGACGGUACCGGAAGAAUAAGCACCGGCUAACUUCGUG
rnacentral:rRNA from 1 species